CAAAUUAAAUGGACCCAAGCCUAUAUAAUGUCUUAAUCUGGUUGACAGUUUCUACCCAACGCCGUAAAUGUUGGACUAUAGGAAUUUUUAACUUACAU
rnacentral:ncRNA from 2 species